UGAGCUCAGGCAAGGCUAUCGAGCUGAGCGCCCACC
rnacentral:rRNA from 1 species